GGCAGGGUAGCUCAGUCGGCAGAGCAGGGGACUCAUAAGCCCUUGGUCGUGAGUUCAAAUCUCACCCCUGCUA
rnacentral:tRNA from 1 species